UGAUCGAGCUCUUCUUCGCUUUCUUCUCUUUCAUCCUACCAUCUUUCCUCAGACGGACAUUCGACGUAAUUCCAGCCACAAUCGACUCUCCCUCUUUCUCUUUCUUUCUUUGCCUGUCUUUCUUAUCCUCUUUUUCUAUUUCGAUCGAUAGCGAUUAUGAAAGUCGCGUUUAGCCGAUGAGAGAACAGGAUAAAGGAACCGACGUGAAAAGGCAUUCUCAAUGAACGUAUUCCCCAAUAAUGUUUAGUAUAAUGUUUGUGUACGUAGUAUAGUCGAUACUAUAAUGGUGUCUAUUGGCUUCCAAAUAUACUUUGUUAUAUUAUAUAUUUUCAUUUACUAAUUAUAUCUAAUGUAUCUUCUAAUAAAAUUUUAUUUUUCGUGUAUUACACAUUAUCAAAAUAAUUUUGUUAUAUUAGAUUUUGAUUCUCUUUCCUAUGAGUAAUAGACGUUAUAACGUAGAAAAAGAAAAAGAAAAAGGAAAACCAAAGGAAGGAGAAGUAAGAAAUUAAAAAAAAAAAAAAAAAAAAGGGGGAAUGACUUUGAUAAGACAUUGCCACAAAGUAAUAUUAUUGAUAUAUACGCGCGUCGGGCCCGAAAACGGUGUACUCCUCCUUUAGAAGUUCUUGCGCUUCGUGGCUUACGGGGGGGUCUCUCUCUUUGCGAUCUAGCGAUCUCGCGCGUACUCCACUUUUCCUUUGGCCACCAAAGCCGAGUAGGUCGCGUGUAAUCUAGACGGAAACGUUGGUCUGAAAGAAGGGGAUGGGAAUGAUGGUGGCAAAAGGGGUUGCAAAGAGUGAGUGAGAAACAGAGAAAGAGAGAAAAUGCUUCGCUGGUAAAAACACAGAACUUGUGUGUGGGCACUACCUCAAAGUCUAUCUAAAUCCAAACGGUCCUUUAUCUUUUCUUUUUUUCCCCCUCAAGGCUUCAGUCGUUUACGUGGUAAAGAACCUGCACAUACCGCCAUUUCUCUCUCUCUCUCUCUCUCUCUCUCUCUCUCUCUCUCUCUCUCUCUCUCUCUAUUUCUCUACAUCUCGAUUUCUUUCUUUAUCUCGGCGGGCGAAUGAGAAAGCUAUUUGCGGAAGAUAUGGGUCGGCUACCCCGAAUGGGAAAGACUGCCGUUGGCUGUUGCUGACUGCUGCUGUUGCUGCUGUUGCUGCUGCUGCUGGCGCUGGCUGACUCUUUUUCUCAACGUUGAUGCAAAGCAAACGUAUAUAUGGCCAAGAAGACUACGAGCCUAAGCAACGCGUGGGCUUAUUACGUCGUUGAAGAAGCGAACGUCGUGCUAGGUGGCCCUACGACAUUGCAAGCUAGUUUGAUAGGGAGACUUGGAUAAGCAGAAGAGGAAACGAGGGAGAAUACUAAUCGACGAGGACGCCCAUAUGAGAUAAAUUAAACCGUAUCUCGCCUUAUGUUUUCCGUUUUUCGUUUUCAUUUUUGAUUAUGUCGUCCGUAAAAAAAAAAAAAAAAUAAAAAAAAAAGUAAAUUGGCGAUGGUGAAUGCAAUUAGAUUUAUUAACAAAAAAAUUCCCAAAGUUUUCUUCAAAUUCGAAAGCUAUCGAAGUCGAUCAUAUGUCGAGAUGGUUUAUUGGUGAAUGGUAUAGAAUUUGAUCGAUUUUAUUUAUAAACUAUCAGAAAACUCCUUACUUAUUCUCGGAAGAUCGCAAUUGUAAAUCCUAAUAAAAUAUAAACAUAAAUUUCGAUGAAUAAACAAAUCAACGAAAUAAAGACAAAAUUCGUGAGAUUGGUCGUGAAGAUAUUUUUGCUCUCGAAUCCUCUAUAUUUUGAUUAUUAUUUUUCUUUCUCUUUUUUUCAUUGUCUAGAUAAAAGGAGUGCAUAAAGAUGAACACUCAUUUCUAUAAUGAGAAAGAAAAAAAGAAAGAUGUAAUCUCUCUCUCUCUCUCUCUCUCUCUCUCUCUCUCUUUCUCUCUCUCUCGUCCUCUUUUCAUUUCAAUUGUCGAAUCGCAUCGCUUCGACUGAUAUCACUGGACGUUGACGAAGACGAAGACAACGACGACGACGACGACGACGACGACGACGACGAUGACGACAAGAUAUCGCUGUUGGCUUUAUUUCUCGGUCUAAUAAUUUGAAAUGGAGGAAAAAGUAGCGGAGUGGAGGAGACUACUUGACAUUAAUUGCGCGCGAACCAUUACCGUUAACUUUCUUCGCGUUUUCGAUCGAAGAAGCAGCAUACAUAUGCAUCGAGGUGAACCAAUAGCCAGGCCUCGAGUGCUGCUUCAUCAAACGAUUUUUCCCAAAGGAAAAACUGUCUGGAAUGAUGAAGACAAAGAAAAGAAAGGAAUAAAAAGGGAAACGGAUAAAUCGUUUUUGCCUCUUCUUAGAAGGAAUAUGUUUUUUCACAAAAAAAAGUGGAAGGAUUCUAGCACUUCGUUCUUGAGUUUCGUGAAAGGUAGGAAUAAAGAGAGAGAGAGAGAGAGAGAGAGAGAGAGAGAGAGAGAGAGAGAGAAAGAGAAAGAGAGAGAGAGAAAGAGGAGAGACAGGGAAAGAGAGGAAGGUCGGCCUUUUUAGCAACCCUUCGACGAUGAUUUUGCGUGUGGCGUUCGUUGGGGAGACUUAAUAAAACCGCUCCGAAAAUAUCCGUAUCCUGUAGGCGGUUUCGCGGCAAGAGUGCGAGGAAAGUGAAAGAAAAAAAAUAAAAAAUAAAAAAAAAUA